AGCCCUACGGGGGGCAGCAGUGGGGAAUUUUGGACAAUGGGCGCAAGCCUGAUCCAGCUAUUCCGCGUGUGGGAAGACGGCCUUCGGGUUGUAAACCACUUUUGUAGAGAACGAAAAGUCUGUUGAUAAUACCGAUAGAUGAUGACGGUACUCUAAGAAUAAGCACCGGCUAACUACGUGCCAGCAGCCGCGGUAAUACGUAGGGUGCGAGCGUUAAUCGGAAUUACUGGGCGUAAAGGGUGUGCAGGCGGUUUUUCAAAAUGGAUGUUAAAGCCCCGGGCUUAACCUUGGAAA
rnacentral:rRNA from 1 species